CAUCUAUAAUGAGAGCUGGUGCCCAGAACGCUAUAUAUAUAAUAAAUAAAUUAUAAUAAAUAAAUAAAUAAAAAUUAAAAAAAAACAAACAAGUAAAAAUCUGACCUGCUAAGUUAAAGCCAGUUACAGACAAGAUGAGGACUCUGGGUGAAACAUUCCUCCACAACCUCUCAGCUUGGACCCAGCUCUCCAGGAAGAUCCCAGCUAGUCAUAACUCAUAUAUACCCAAUAGACAGACCACAAAUGCUUAGAGAUCUGGGGAAUAGGGCAUUUAAAUGUUUAAUUAAAAAGGCUUUCUGUAACAGAGAGACAGGUUGGCUCCUGGCAGCAACCCCUGCUUCCUCCAAAGAUGAUGAACGAGCACAAAAGAACAUCCAUCUGUAACUUUCUUCAAGCAAAAGCGCUAACCAUAGGGAUACACUGCCUUUCAUCUAAACUGCUGCAAAUCUCUUCAGACCAUGGACAACAGGACACUGAGGAAUCCUACAAACUCCUAAUCCACAGGAUCUCCUGAAGCCUAUCAGGCCCCAUGCUGUCAGCCUUAAGAUAGAUGUUGCCCUAAUGACCAUGACGGACCCUGGGGUGACUGUCUAGGUAGCCAAUCCAGGAGCUGACUUGGAGGGUUAACCUUGAACAGGUCGGGUGAGUGCACCCCUCCCUCGGCCUAAGCCUCCCCACCUUCCUCUGGUCCUGACACUCUUCCCCCCCUCAGUCACCAGUACCUAAAGAAACAUUUUUCCCUAAUCUUAACCUUGUCCUUUGCUUUGCUAGUACCUCGCCAGGUCCAAGAAACACUGGACAGUUCCAUAGAGCCUGGACAGCAGUGAAACAAUCAGCUACCCCAGAAUGUGGCCAUCAUCCCAGAUGUCUCAGGUCCCACCCCUUCCCAAAUCAGUAGGAAGCAGUUCUGAGAACUCAGUGCCCUCAAUCCCUUAAUCUGCCCUUCCUAACUCCUCACCUUUUUAAUAAAAAUAAGAAGGGAGGGAUGUUAGGCUCCAGGCACACCGUGGCACCGUACCUGCAUGACAGACAGUACUCUGUCCUUUUAAGAGACAAGCUCUGCCCACUCUCUUCUCUGCCCCCCCCUCCUCUCCACUCAAUAAACUCCACACUCAAA